GGUGUAUCUUUAACCAGACUAUCAGCUCCUCCAAUGUUUACAAGCCGCUCAUGAUUGGAUCGAAUCCAAGCAUACGGUUGCCCAUACUUGGCAUAACCAGCUAAGAGGAACAGGGUGCAGUUCAGUUCCUGCGAUGAAAAGAAAAAUAAUCUCUUUUGGGAGCCUUGAACAAUGCAAGACAAGCAGCAAUUUAGUCCAGAUUUCUUAUAGAAAGCUACUAAGUUAAGGAAUAGCUAUCUCUCUCUCACUAGGCGAGGCUGGGAGAAGGUGAGAUUCAACACUCCUGUGAAACAAUGUAAAUAAUUAAUGUUCUGCACUUAUUUUUGGUGUAAUUGCUGCAGUUAAAUUAAAAAGCAGUUUUCUCUCCACCUGCUGGGAGUUUGUUGCUGCGUGGCCUGUGGUGUCUGCUGUUUGGCUUGUGGAAGUGGCCCUUCUCCUGCCAAAGGGGAGCUGGCAUAAUCGCUGUCUAGACUGUAGCUGCUACUGCAGGUUGAGCUGGUGAAGGUGGAGGCCACAGACACAGCAUAUCCAGGAGAACGCCAUCUCUGUGGAUUUCCAGCAAAUGUGACAUAUCAUGGUCACAUUUGGGGUGACAAUGACACAUUCUCAUGAUUAGAGGCACAACUGGCAUAGUCUUAUCAUCUCUAAAUAUGGCAGGUGUUGGUGUUGAAAACAUCCAGAAAUAAAAGGCUACCAUAUGCUCCUGUGAAUAUGAGCUCUCGGAUUAAAGGCAAAUUAAAGAUUUGGCCAGUUUAGACUGGUACUAAAGGAAAGGAAAUAUCUCAAAUUAUUCUGACAAGAUGCACAGGCAAAGGCCUCUACUGAGAUUUGUUUACUUAUGGUUUUUACUUCUCUUGUUAGAUAAUUUUUAGGACUUCAUAUUUGUAUCUCUCUCUCUCUCUCUCUCUCUCUCUCUCUCUCUCUCUCUCUCUCUCACACACACAAUUUCUUUAUAGAAAUAUUUGGGGUUCAAUUUAAGUUAAGCUCAAUCAAAAGCAUUUUGGCAUAAUGUUGAUUACCACAAAAAUGAAUUCCAACUUGUCCAUUCUUUAAAAAAAAAAAAAGGAAAAAUCUGGGUAACAGUGAGGCACUUACAAUGAAAAUGAAUGGGGCCAAUCUGUAAAAGUUGAAAUACUCAGUGUUUCAAAAGUGUAGACACAAGACAUUAUCAACAUGCAUGUUAAAACUAUUUUAACGUGAUAAAAUCGCUUAGUUACCUUUUCUGUGUAAAGUUAUAUAACAUUUUAUGACUUUGUAACAUGAUAACAUAAUGCUGUUAACCCUAAAAUGACCUUAAAAACAAUGAAAACAAUGAUUUGAACAACUUUAGAGAUCAAAUAAUACACAAUUUUAACAGAAGAAUUACCAGAAGUGCUUUGUAACUGCCUCAUUCACUUCGAUUUUGCCUGACUGUACCCUGAAAUGUUUUUUUUUCUAUUGGAUGAAUAAUUCAACGGUUCAUUUUAAAACUAGGCUGUUUGCUAGUUUUACAAAUCAAUUUCCUAAUAUUUAUUUCUAGAUCUAUAAAAUGGUUUUGCCUUUAUUUCUUUUUAAUGGUCUUCAUUCCUACUUUGUCCAGACUUGUGUGUACAAGCAAAAAAAAAUAUCAACCUGCAAAAAUGUGACUUUUUAAGGUAAAUUAUACCUCAAAUUUUUUACGACAACAGGAACGGCCAAAUGUGCAGGCUUUUGAUUUUAGUCAUUAAUCAGACUGAUUUGUACCGUAUCAUUGGUUGUUUUCUGUUUUCUAGUCAUAUGAAGCUUGAAUGUAGAAUUAACAACAUGUGGAACCAGUUCAAGUAGUUCUGCAUUCAGAACUUUUUAUGGUCUUUUUUUUUUUUUUUUCAACUGCAUUGCAUUUUUCAUAACAAACAAAAAAAUAUUCCUACUUAGUAUAAUGACAUUUUCAAGCGCUGGCAGUGGUCUUUUGGAUCCUGUAAUCUGUUCAGCAGUGAAUCAUGUAAUGCUGGAAGACAUACAGUACAAACACAUGCUAUAAAUGUUCAUCUUCAGUGUUCUGGCUGAUUUUUUCCAACCUGUAGGCCUGUGAAAUGUAGAACAGUUUAAUUACAAUGGAGCCAAUUUGUAAGGUUUCCUAUGAUGCUAACAAAAACCAUACACAUUUUUGAAACUGACUUGUAAAAAAACACCAUAUAAUAAAACCAGUGAAUCUGUGUUGUGCAUUUAAAGGCAGAUUGAUAUUUUAACAAUUGGCCUUGGAUAGUGGGUGGGGCCUUACAAGCAACC